GGUAUUGUUUGCCCCACGAUGAGCCCCGGAAACUUAUUGUGCAUUCAAACAAACAGAUA
rfam:Carnobacterium maltaromaticum LMA28 complete genome